rnacentral:rRNA from 1 species
AUUGAACGCUGGCGGCAUGCUUUACACAUGCAAGUCGAACGGUAACAGGCCGCAAGGUGCUGACGAGUGGCGAACGGGUGAGUAAUGUAUCGGAACGUGCCCAGUCGUGGGGGAUAACGCAGCGAAAGCUGUGCUAAUACCGCAUACGAUCUAUGGAUGAAAGCGGGGGACCGUAAGGCCUCGCGCGAUUGGAGCGGCCGAUAUCAGAUUAGGUAGUUGGUGGGGUAAAGGCUCACCAAGCCAACGAUCUGUAGCUGGUCUGAGAGGACGACCAGCCACACUGGGACUGAGACACGGCCCAGACUCCUACGGGAGGCAGCAGUAGGGGAAUAUUGGACAAUGGGGGGCAACCCCUGAUCCAGCCAUGCCGCGUGAGUGAAGAAGGCCCUCGGGUUGUAAAGCUCUUUUGUCCGGAAAGAAAAGCAUCUGGUUAAUACCCGGGUGUUCUGACGGUACCGGAAGAAUAAGCACCGGCUAACUUCGUGCCAGCAGCCGCGGUAA